AUACAUCUUCAUGGUUUAUUUUCAAGCAUAGUAUUGAAUAGAGCUUCAACUUUCGCAAACCAUGAUUUGAGGAUUUCCUUUGGAAACCUUGCAACUAAGUUGCAUACUUUAAAUGCUCAUCAUCCUCAAACGCAUGGUCAAAAUAUUUUUGAAAAUAUAGCUCUUUCUAUUAUGCCUAGAAAAAUCAUGAAGUGCACACACAAUUUUAGAGAUGAGCAAACAUACCAUCAAGUAGUUCACAAAACUACUUCUACUUUUAAAGUUAUGUGUGUGCUCAAUCAUCUUUCUUCUUUUAAGUUGUUACCAUCUCCUAUAGGAUUUAUGCCUCAAGAGAAGGUAACCACAAAUGACCAUUUUAAAAUAAAAAAGAUGAUUAGAGGCCACACACAACCCUUAAAAGAGAAAUCUU
rnacentral:lncRNA from 1 species